AACAAAACAAUAACAUUAAAUAACAUUGUUUUCUAUUUGUUAGAAAAUUUACUAUUUAUUCAAGUUUUUAAGGUAUCUAAUAUUUUGAUUCCUAAUUUCAAUGAUCUAAAUACUUUAAGAAUUAGAUGUUGGUUUGUCAAUUGAAAGUGUGUAGAUCUUGCAUUAUUAUGGUGUUAUAUUAUGAUUAUACAUUCAAAGACAUAAAAUGGUCUUAAAAUGACAAUGACAUAACUUGUCGCAAUUGUUUAUGGGGCAAUAUACCGACCAACAAAAAGUCGCUAUCGUAACAGGCCUUCAAAACAGACGGUUUUAUGAUUGAUAAAUUCAAAAAAUAAAUACAUUUAAUUUCUCUGAGAUUCUCUAAUAUUCAGUUACAGUUCACAACACAGCUACCCGUACAUGCAGUAUUAUACUGUAAAUAUAAAUCUCUGCAUUUAGCAUCCCACUAGAAGCGUCACAGUUACUGCCUCUUUUUUUUUUUUUACAAAUACCUGUACUAUUACUAACACAUUUACUGUUUUACUUUUAGCCUGUGGAUACAAAUGCAGAUUUCCUUAAUGUUCAAUGGUGCGUGUUCUUCUAAUGGCCGCCUUCCCACUGGAGGUUUUGAUCCACAGCAAUUUAAAAGGAGGACAGAGCAAAACGGACAUCGGCGCAGAGUGAAGAACUGCCCUUGAUAAGGACACUAUGACAGCCAUA